UACGCUCUCACUGAAGUUUUCAGGAGAAUGGUUGCGUUCUUACUGAGAAUUUGAGAUGCUCUCUAUUUGAAUAUGAGCAUGCAGACACAUUCACAUUUCAUUUGCUAAAAUUGCGCAGAUUUUAAAUAUGAGAAAGAAAGAAAGAAAGUAGUAGCUUGGGAGGCUUCUAGUGACGUAAGGGUUCAGUUUGGGAAGACAGUCGAUGUCUCUCACACAUGAUACAGAAAAGCGUAAUGCUGAUAAAAACUGGCUAUCACGUUAUAUACGGGAGUAAAGUAUCAAAAGAUUUGAUACAGAACAAAUGGUGACAAAUUUCAAAGUAUAUAAAAGAGAAAGUCUUGAAUUCUGUUGAACUAGAAUGAAGCGUUCCCUUUUUCGGAGUAAGAAAGCCACAAUAAUCGGUCCAGAUUCCUGGGUUAUAUUUUUCAGUGGCAUUUGUUGUCAUUAGUUGAGAGAAGAAGAACAUAUUUGUGAGUGUUCAAUUUAAUGGGGUGGUCUCUUAUUUGCAGAGAACUUUGUUGACGAGUGGUACACAGCCCGAGGAGGCGACGACCUCAGGCGCCAGAGACGUGCCUGCCACACUGGAGGGCGAGUCAUGUUCGGAUGAAGAGUUGGAGGAAGGCGAAUAGAGCAGAGAGCCAACACAGUAAAUGAUUGAGUGCGGAAGAUGCCUACACUUACCAUGUGCUGGACAAGGGAAAAGCUACCCGUGCAACAGAAUCCUGAAAGCAGGCAUUGUGUGCCAUGGGGGGGGGGGAAAUUGUAAUAUUCAGACUUGUUAACGGGGACUGCAAAUCGCAAAUCAGGAGCACGAGCAACCCGCUGAACAUUUUAAAAAUCACACCGGACAGAAAUCGCAUAUUGUGACCUAUAUUUUUAAACAUUCCACACGAUUUGCUUAAAAACAACAAUUCGGGAUCAAAAAAAAAGACAACAUUUGAAUGAAGACAGAGGCUUCUGAAGAAAGCAGGCUCAGUAAAUGGGUAGGCGUCCGGUUUUCCGGGUAAAUAGUAGCUUCAAUUAUCAUUAGGUUUGUGAAUUUGUGUAAUAAGAAAAAUUUAUAUGGAAAGUGGCAAAGACAGCGAAACAGAGUUAGAGGAUCUGAAAAUUAUCCAAUUUGUGGCCCAUCUACAAACACGAAUAUCCUUCCGUCCGUCACGCUCCACCAACUUCGGUUGAGAGUAAGAUGGAGCUAACUACUAAGAAGCGUAGGCGCUGAAAUUUUGAUACUGAAAUUUAAGUCUGUACUGCAUUACGUGUCAUAUUAAUAUCAUUUUAAUGUUAAAGGACGAGGUGUGAGACUGGUGACUGAGACUUAGAUUUCUUCUUGUCCCGUCGCUGCUCCCAUUUUAUUUGUUGAGUUUUGCGACUUCAUUUGCGCACGUUGGUUUUAAAAAACAAGCAGAAAUAUUCAGAAAUUUUUAUUAUACCAUGUUUCUUAAUUUUCAUUGUUCCUCGUUUUUAACGUUCUAGACUCAGGGAAGGGGAUGUCGACAUGGCACAUGACACUAAGGAGAAUCUGAAAAAUUCCGUUUUUUAACGAGGGUCGUUUUAGAGUUUAAUAAUUGCCCGUGUACCUUAAAUAUCUGUGUGUGUGUGUGUGUAUUUCGUAGUCAAGAGACUACUCAAUGUUGGGUAUCUUCCUUUAUCAUCGAGAAAUAUGGGUCACGUGAUGCCGUGUUCAGGUACCAAGGAAAAUUUGAAUCUUGUGGAUUGGGUACGUUGAACAAGAAUCCUAUACGAGGCACGGUUUGAGAGGACAGAAUUUCCAGAGAGUUCUUAGAAUUAGAGAAGUGAAUAAUAUAAGGAAAAAACAGGGAAAUUCUUACUCCCUCAUUUUUAUUAGACUUAAAGCCUACAGCUUGCUACAAAUAUUUACAAUUUACAUUAAAGAUUUUAGGAAAAUAUUUGUUCAUUCCUGCAUUAAUAGGCAUGUAUUUAAGUAUAAAUUAGUUUCAUAGAAAAAGUACAGUAGAUUUCUUCUUAUUAUAAAUAUUGUCUUAAUAAUUUUUAUUCAAAAAUAAAGAAUGAUUCAAAGA